UACGGAGGGUGCAAACGUUGCUCGGAAUCAUUGGGCGUAAAGCGCACGUAGGCGGUCCAGCAAGUCGGGUGUGAAAGCCCUCGGCUUAACCGAGGAAGUGCAUUCGAAACUACUGGACUUGAAUACUGGAGAGGAUCGCGGAAUUCCCGGUGUAGAGGUGAAAUUCGUAGAUAUCGGGAGGAGCACCAGUGGCGAAGGCGGCGAUCUGGACAGAUAUUGACGCUGAGGUGCGAAAGCGUGGGGAGCAAACAGG
rnacentral:rRNA from 1 species